rnacentral:rRNA from 1 species
GUCUACGGCCAUACCACCCUGAACACGCCCGAUCUCCUCUGAUCUCAGAAGCUAAAAAGUCACUACACUGAAUGUAACUGUGUACA